rnacentral:rRNA from 1 species
GAUGAACGCUGGCGGCGUGCUUAACACAUGCAAGUCGAACGAUUAAAGCUCUCUUCGGAGAGUGUAUAAAGUGGCGAACGGGUGAGUAACACGUGGGCAAUCUGCCCCUCACAUUGGGAUAACCCGAGGAAACUCGAGCUAAUACCGGAUACUCCCUACUGACCGCAUGGUCGGUUCGGGAAAGCUCCGGCGGUGAGGGAUGAGCCCGCGGCCCAUUAGCUUGUUGGUGGGGUAAUGGCCCACCAAGGCAACGAUGGGUAGCCGACCUGAGAGGGUGAUCGGCCACACUGGGACUGAGACACGGCCCAGACUCCUACGGGAGGCAGCAGUGGGGAAUCUUGCACAAUGGGCGAAAGCCUGAUGCAGCAACGCCGCGUGCGGGAUGAAGGCCUUCGGGUUGUAAACCGCUUUCAGCAGGGAUGAGAUUGACAGUACCUGCAGAUGAAGCCCCGGCUAACUACGUGCCAGCCCCCGCAGUAA